UGAACGCUGGCGGCAGGCUUAAACAUGCAAGUCGAGCGGGGGAAGGAGCUUGCUACUGGACCUAGCGGCGGACGGGUGAGUAAUGCUUAGGAAUCUGCCUAUUAGUGGGGGACAACAUCUCGAAAGGGAUGCUNAAUACCGCAUACGUCCUACGGGAGAAAGCAGGGGAUCUUCGGACCUUGCGCUAAUAGAUGAGCCUAAGUCGGAUUAGCUAGUUGGUGGGGUAAAGGCCUACCAAGGCGACGAUCUGUAGCGGGUCUGAGAGGAUGAUCCGCCACACUGGGACUGAGACACGGCCCAGACUCCUACGGGAGGCAGCAGUGGGGAAUAUUGGACAAUGGGGGGAACCCUGAUCCAGCCAUGCCGCGUGUGUGAAGAAGGCCUUAUGGUUGUAAAGCACUUUAAGCGAGGAGGAGGCUACUUUAGUUAAUACCUAGAGAUAGUGGACGUUACUCGCAGAAUAAGCACCGGCUAACUCUGUGCCAGCAGCCGGGUU
rnacentral:rRNA from 1 species